GAUGAACGCUGGCGGCGUGCCUAAUACAUGCAAGUCGAGCGAACGGACGAGAAGCUUGCUUCUCUGAUGUUAGCGGCGGACGGGUGAGUAACACGUGGAUAACCUACCUAUAAGACUGGGAUAACUUCGGGAAACCGGAGCUAAUACCGGAUGAUAUUUUGAACCGCAUGGUUCAAAAGUGAAAGACGGUCUUGCUGUCACUUAUAGAUGGAUCCGCGCUGCAUUAGCUAGUUGGUAAGGUAACGGCUUACCAAGGCAACGAUGCAUAGCCGACCUGAGAGGGGGAUCGGCCAACCUGGAACUGAGACACGGUCCAGCCUCCUAGGGGGGGCAGAAGUGGGGAAUUUUCCGCAAGGGGGGAAAGCCUGACGGGGCAACGCCGGGUGGGUGAUGAAGGGUUUCGGAUCGUAAAACGCUUUUAUUAGGGAAAAAAAUAUGGGAAAGUAACUGUGCAACUUUUGACGGUACCUAAUCAGAAAGCCACGGCUAAUUACGU
rnacentral:rRNA from 1 species